UACGGGGGGAGCAAGCGUUGUUCGGAUUUACUGGCGUAAAGGGCGCGUAGGCGGUCAGCACAAGUCAGUUGUGAAAGUCUCCGGGCUUAACUCGGAAAGGUCAACUGAUACUGUGCGACUAGAGUGCGGAAGGGGCAACUGGAAUUCUCGGUGUAGCGGUGUAAUGCGUAGAUAUCGAGAGGAACACCUGCGGCGAAGGCGGGUUGCUGGGCCGACACUGACGCUGAUGCGCGAAGCCAGGGAAGCGAAGCGGG
rnacentral:rRNA from 1 species